GUUUUAAGGCUUGUCAUCUAGUCAAACAUCUGUCUUAAGGAGUCCUGACAAAGUAGGGGCUUUUUGCCAGAGCUUCUUCGAUUAGUAUUUCAUUGUCCCUACCUAAGCCAGUUACUCUGUGCUCCCUUUAUUGUUAAUGGAAGGACUGGACCCUCGAAUGAUAAAUGGCCUCUACAAAGAGCCAAAUGAAUUGCCCCAGGCAUUUUUUUCUUCUCUGAGCAUGAACAGAACCAAAGGCCACUGACUUAUACUUGACGUCUCAUUUUCCAGCUCCAGAACUAAGAUGAAUGCCAGCUGCCUGGUCUCAGGCCCCGGAUACUCACCUACCUAUCUCUUCCUCCGGUUGCUGACUGAGGGUAGCAUUAGGUAACAUGAAUUGAAGCAAUUUUCACCUGUGCUGAUUAUGUAGGAUUUCUUCUGAUCUUGGGACUUUAUCCUCUUCAGCUAGGCUGUGCUUUAAAGGUUUCCCCUCGGCAGCCUCCAUACAGGUUUGCCAUUGCCAGGAAAACAAUUCAGACCACGGGCUGCAGUUGCUAUUAUUAUGAACUGAGCAUUAUGUAUUUUGUGUGUGUGUGUAAUACAAGAUAUAAUUCUGUUCAUCGCAGUUCUGACUACAUCCAGGAAAUUUCAUGUGGGAUGGCUGCUGUGCUGCAGGAUUGGAGAAGUGUGGGACCAAGGUCAAAGCCCUAGAAAAAGCCUAUCGGGAUGCUGCAAAACAAGGAUCUAGCUGGAACUUGUGACGGGGCAGAGAUUGUGUUUGGAGUGUGUGGGAGAAACCUUGCAAGAGUGUUAAAGUAAGUCCUCCUCCAUAAAAGAGUGGCAACCAAAAGGAAAAAUGUUUUUCCAUAGGAAAAAACUCCAAGAAAUUGAACUAGAGGAAUUACAAUAGUACUGGUGGGAAGGGAUGCUUGAAAGUCUCCAAACAAACCUCCCCUGAAGCAGGAUGAUCCCCAGCACUAGAUCAGGAAAAACAGGGCUUUAUACAACUGCACCCUGUACACACCGAAGGAUAAAGACUCUCUUGACAUCUGGCCAAGGGCUGCAUCACCCUCUUGCGGUCAGAGUGCUUUCUAAUGCCUGACCCAAACCUCCUAAGCUAUAGUUAGUUGACCCUUGCUAUAUUGUCCGGCACCACUGAGAGAAGUUUGGCUCUGUCAUCCUUGUAACUGCCCCUCAAAAACUUACACAAGCUGAUGUUAGACACUUCUCAGUCUAGUUUCCACCAAGAGAAGAACUGAAGCCUUUUCUCCACUUCUCUACAGUAUCAGUCCUGCUCCCUCUACCUCUCCUGACAGAUCACAUGCCCCAGCCUUGAUUAUAUUUGUUGCCUUCACUGGUCUCUCUCCAGCUUCUGUACAACCUUUUUGAACUGGAGCCUCAAAACUAGAUGAAGAGUUCCAGGUGCAGCUUUCCCAGAACUCAGCACGAUGAAUGUAACUUCCUUCUACUUUCUGAC
rnacentral:lncRNA from 1 species